GCCAACCUGUAAGAGAGGAAGGGUCAUUAGAGAAAGGGGGGUUCGCUGCACUUCAGACUUCACCCUGGAUAGGCUCCCAAGGGCCCUGUCUGCACUGCUCGGAACUGAACCAAACACACACAUUCACCGUCCACCGUCCACCCUUGCUUUUCUGAUUUCAACAGUUCCUCUUGUAGGAGUUUAUCAUGAGUGUAAAGAUUAUGUAUUGAUAUGUUCCCUUCAUUGUUUAUAACAACUCUCCUCAGCCCCACCAAAAAGAAAAUUCUGGAAACCUGUCAGUGGAGGGUAGGUUAAAAUAAAGUAUGGUGUCUCCAUAUAAUGAAUCACUACAUACUCAUUAAAGAGGAUAAUAAAGGUCUUUAUUCAUUGAUAAGAAUUCCAUGACAUAUAGCUGAAUAAAAACUUAAAAAGAGGAUGUGAGGGCUUCCCUGGUGGCUCAGCGGUUAAGAAUCCACCUGCCAAUGCAGGGGACAUGGGUUCGAGCCCUGGUCCAGGAAGAUCCCACAUGCUGCAAAGCAACUAAGCCCGUGCGCCACAACUUCUGAGCCCACGUGCCACAACUACUGAAGCCGGCGCGCCUAGAGCCUGUGCUCUGCAACAAGAGAAGUCACCGCAAUGAGAAGCCUGCGCACCACAACAAAGGGUAGCCUCCGCUCACCGCAACUAGAGAAAGCCGGCGCGCAGCAACGAAGACCCAACGCAGCCAAAAAAGAGGAUGUGACCUCACUUGCGUAUGUAUAUUCAUUUGUAUGUAUGUGUGUAAAUAAAGUACUUGGAAGGAUGGCCACCAGAAUGCUAAUGGUUGACCUCUGGGUAUUGGGAUUUGAAGUGAUUAUAUCAAGUAAAAACUUUUUCUAUAUUGCUCUAACAUCCAUUGUUUUUUUGGCAUUGUAAUUAAAAAUAAAGCAAUAAGAUUUUUAUUUGGAAGGAACCCCAGGAGGGCACACCAUGACCCUGUCCUGGCAGGUCACUGGACACUAUCUGAAGCAUCCUGUGGAUGGGCCACUUCCACAGCCAGCACCCGGAGCGGUGGGCACCAGGACGCAAACUGCAGGGCCAGCCCAGUCUUGGAACGACUGACAUUUUCCACCGUCUCCUCAGUGAAUGCGGGGCAGAAGGGCAGAGCUGCCGACUGUUCUGGACAAGCGGAGACUCCGUGAGAACUCAUCUCACACACAACAUCAGCCCCAAAGGAGAUCACGGCUCCCGACCUCUCAUUAAAGAGCGACAACCCAAGGUCUCACCCAGUCACCCAGCAACACUGGGAUGGCCUGGGACUCCUGACCCUCCCCACUCCAUUAUCAGCCGUAAAAUGCAAGAAUGAAAGUGUGAUCACAUGGAGGCUCUACCAGGCUGCCAGAAAUGGGAAGGCCAAUGUAACUGAUAUCUGCAGCGAGAGAUCCAGCCUCGCCCCCAUCCUGCCCGUGCGCCUCACCGUUAUAGGUGAAGUGACAACAGGCACCCAGAUUCCACUCUGUUGAUGUUCUGCCUCAGUAACGACCUCCGAGACCAGUGAUUCUCCCCGGCCCCACCCUGGGCAGCACCUUUGGCCUGCAGGUGCUGAAGGCCCACAUGCCAGUUCUUAUUAUCAAGGUCAGUUCUUUCCAAGUCUCUGCAGGCACUGAAUAAAUAUUUGCCAACCUGAACACGUUGGCAUUUUUUAGUUGUCAAAGUAAUUUUAUCCGUUGUCUGGUUUAGUGUUCAUGACAGUAUCUUGCUGAAGGCAGUGUUAUUAUAUUCAGUUAAAAAUAAAACUAAAGCUCAUUUGCGAACAAACCUAAAAUUCAAUAAAAUGUUACAGGGUUUUAAA